CCAUGGGAGGAGGGGGAGGAAAUGCCCAUCUGCUCAGAUCCUGAGCUCUGAGGAGGUGAGAUUUGCCCAUGGCCACAUCCGCACCUCCUGGAGAAGCUCAUCUGGGAAAAUGGCAUCAUCCAGGAGUGAAAAGAAGAGAGAGCUUAAACUGGCUCAAGAUGUGUUUCUUCCAUCUGUAACCCAUGAGUCCUAAAUCAUUUGGGACUUUUCUCAGUUUUCCUGUUUUUUAGAGACUCUGAAAAGUAAACUAAAGAUCAGAAAUGAUUCGUCUCAGAGUCCAACCUGUCCAUGAGGGUUUGGGGAAGAAUGAGUAGAAAGAAAGAGUGGAAAAUCAUGCAGACUGUGCCACCACCCGCAAGCUUGAAAACACCCAAGGAAACCAUCCCGGCAUUGUGAGUAGACUAAUCGCCACGUACCACUCAGUUUUCCCUUCCUGGACUGCGUCACUGGCCGUAGCCCUGUGGUUCCCACGUUGUUUCUGUCAUCGUCCCAAGGAGCAUAAUUCCUGAUCCUGAGUCUGGGCAGGACAGCCUGUCUCAGCACGAGCUCUUAUGUAAGGUGGCUAUGGGAAGAGUUGGCAAUAAACAAACAUAUUUCCAGCCA